rnacentral:rRNA from 1 species
ACUCCUACGGGAGGCAGCAGUGGGGAAUAUUGCACAAUGGGGGAAACCCUGAUGCAGCGACGCCGCGUGAACGAAGAAGGUAUUCGUAUCGUAAAGUUCUGUCCUAUGGGAAGAUAAUGACAGUACCAUAGAAGAAAGCUCCGGCUAAAUACGUGCCAGCAGCCGCGGUAAUACGUAUGGAGCGAGCGUUGUCCGGAAUUAUUGGGCGUAAAGGGUACGCAGGCGGUUUAAUAAGUCGAAUGUUAAAGAUCGGGGCUCAACCCCG